CAUGUGUUGAACAGCCAGUGCACGGCCCUGCCCUCUCCAGAAUUCUAAGCAUGCGAUGUUCAACAACAUGGGAGAAAGCUGAUCCCACAGCAUCAGCAGUGGACUGGAGGCAAACACCUGGGUGGCAACACUCCAGCUGGGGCAUAAUCAGUGUGGUGUGUCAUUCACUAAUAUUGGCCAUUUUGAGCAGUCAGAGGCUUGCUGAGGUUUGCUUCUGCAAUCCAUUCAGUAAUCACAACAGAAGUACUAGUGAACCACAAUUCACAUUGGCAUUUUCAAGGUAA
rnacentral:lncRNA from 1 species